rnacentral:lncRNA from 1 species
UUCCAGGGAGGAAUAUCUCAUGAUGUGGAUUUGGAUUUAGUAAAGUUUGACUGUGGCCAAAGGCUCAGGUUCUGACUCUAUCCUGAUAUUCCGUGAGUACGUCUUCUCAGGUAGAGAAGGGUAACUUAUGCGUGGGAAUGGCAGGAAGUCCUUUAGCCUCAGGGUAUUUCUAUACCGAGGUGGUUCCACUGGACUAACCUCGGGUGGCGGUCUGAUGAGUGUAUCCCAGCCAAGUCCACCCGGGUGCAGAGAGCGGCGAGCAUACAUAGUCAAACCGUCAGGGCAGUGUCUUAGUGGUCGGUCAUAAUUAAAGGAACGUAGUAUGCAUGUGUAGUAAUUGUGUGUAUAACAUGUUGAAUUGUUUCUGUUUAUUUGUUUACUUGUAUGAUGAAAGGAUUAAUUAAAUUUACAUAAGCUUACCCUUAUCUGUCAUGUCUUGUGUAUGUUGUCGUUCGGUAUUUGGCCGUCCGGUUAUUCUCUUCAAUGCAAUGAUCAUCCUUUUGGAUGAGAGCAGAGGACGUCUUGGAGGACACAUUAGAGGAUGCUCUGGAGGAUGCUGUGGAAGCCGUGCCUGAGAGCUGUGCAGGACCUUCCGGUCUUUAGUAUAGUUAUUUUUAAAUGUUUAGGUGACUAGUUAACCGUUCUGUAUAAGGAACCUUUUGAUGAUUGGCCGUUAGGUAAAUGAA